UACGUAGGGGGCAAGCGUUGUCCGGAAUCAUUGGGCGUAAAGAGCGUGUAGGCGGCCAGAAAAGUCCGCUGUGAAAGUCGGGGGCUCAACCCUCGAAUGCCGGUGGAUACUGUCGGGCUAGAGUGCGGAAGAGGCGAGUGGAAUUCCUGGUGUAGCGGUGAAAUGCGCAGAUAUCAGGAGGAACACCUAUUGCGAAGGCAGCUCGCUGGGACGUAACUGACGCUGAGACGCGAAAGCGUGGGGAGCAAACAGG
rnacentral:rRNA from 1 species